UGAGGGAUAUUGCACAAUGGGGAAGACCCUGAUGCAGCGACGCCGCGUGAAGGAAGAAGGCCUUCGGGUUGUAAACUUCUGUCGUACGGGACGAUAAUGACGGUACCCAAGGAGGAAGCCACGGCUAACUACGUGCCAGCAGCCGCGGUAAAACGUAGGUGGCAAGCGUUGUCCGGAAUUACUGGGUGUAAAGGGAGCGCAGGCGGAGCGGCAAGUUGGAGGUGAAACCCAUGGGCUCAACCCAUGAACUGCCUUCAAAACCUGUCGGUCUUGAGUGGUGUAGAGGUAAGCGGAAUUCCCGGUGUAGCGGUGGAAUGCGUAGAUAUCGGGAGGAACACCAGUGGCGAAGGCGGCUUACUGGGCACUAACUGACGCUGAGGCUCGAAAGCAUGGGUAGCAAACAGGAUUAGAUACC
rnacentral:rRNA from 1 species